AGAGUUUGAUCCUGGCUCAGAUUGAACGCUGGCGGCAUGCUUUACACAUGCAAGUCGAACGGCAGCGCGGGGCAACCUGGCGGCGAGUGGCGAACGGGUGAGUAAUAUAUCGGAACGUACCCAAGAGUGGGGGAUAACGUAGCGAAAGUUACGCUAAUACCGCAUACGAUCUAAGGAUGAAAGCAGGGGAUCUUCGGACCUUGUGCUCCUGGAGCGGCCGAUAUCUGAUUAGCUAGUUGGUGAGGUAAAGGCUCACCAAGGCCACGAUCAGUAGCUGGUCUGAGAGGACGACCAGCCACACUGGAACUGAGACACGGUCCAGACUCCUACGGGAGGCAGCAGUGGGGAAUUUUGGACAAUGGGCGAAAGCCUGAUCCAGCAAUGCCGCGUGAGUGAAGAAGGCCUUCGGGUUGUAAAGCUCUUUUGUCAGGGAAGAAACGGUGAAGGCUAAUAUCCUUCGCUAAUGACGGUACCUGAAGAAUAAGCACCGGCUAACUACGUGCCAGCAGCCGCGGUAAUACGUAGGGUGCAAGCGUUAAUCGGAAUUACUGGGCGUAAAGCGUGCGCAGGCGGUUUUGUAAGUCUGACGUGAAAUCCCCGGGCUCAACCUGGGAAGUGCAUUGGAUACUGGCAAACUUGAGUACGGGAGAGGAUAGUGGAAUUUCGAGUGUAGGGGUGAAAUCCGUAGAUAUUCGAAGGAACACCGGUGGCGAAGGCGGCUAUCUGGACCGAUACUGACGCUGAGACGCGAAAGCGUGGGGAGCAAACAGGAUUAGAUACCCUGGUAGUCC
rnacentral:rRNA from 1 species